GAUGAACGCUGGCGGCGUGCCUAAUACAUGCAAGUCGAGCGAACAGACGAGGAGCUUGCUCCUCUGACGUUAGCGGCGGACGGGUGAGUAACACGUGGAUAACCUACCUAUAAGACUGGGAUAACUUCGGGAAACCGGAGCUAAUACCGGAUAAUAUAUUGAACCGCAUGGUUCAAUAGUGAAAGACGGUUUUGCUGGCACUUUUAGAUGGAUCCGCGCCGCAUUAGCUGGUUGGUAAGGUAACGGCUUACCAAGGCAACGAUGCGUCGCCGACCUGAGAGGGUGAUCGGCCACACUGGAACUGAGACACGGUCCAGACUCCUACGGGAGGCAGCAGUAGGGAAUCUUCCGCAAUGGGCGAAAGCCUGACGGAGCAACGCCGCGUGAGUGAUGAAGGUCUUCGGAUCGUAAAACUCUGUUAUUAGGGAAGAACAAAUGUGUAAGUAACUAUGCACGUCUUGACGGUACCUAAUCAGAAAGCCACGGCUAACUACGUGCCAGCAGCCGCAGUAA
rnacentral:rRNA from 1 species